GGGCCCGCACAAGCGGUGGAGUAUGUGGUUUAAUUCGAUGCAACGCGAAGAACCUUACCUGGGUUUGAACUGCUGGGGACCGCCUCAGAGAUGAGGUUUUCCCUUCGGGGACUCCAGUAGAGGUGCUGCAUGGCUGUCGUCAGCUCGUGCCGUGAGGUGUUGGGUUAAGUCCCGCAACGAGCGCAACCCUUGUUCCUAGUUGCCAGCGGUUCGGCCGGGGACUCUAGGAAGACUGCCGGUGACAAACCGGAGGAAGGUGGGGAUGACGUCAAGUCAUCAUGGCCUCUAUGUCCAGGGCUACACACGUACUACAAUGGUCGGUACAAAGGGCUGCGAACCCGCGAGGGGGAGCCAAUCCCAAAAACCCGGCCUCAGUUCGGAUUGCAGUCUGCAACUCGACUGCAUGAAGGUGGAAUCGCUAGUAAUCGCGCAUCAGCAUGGCGCGGUGAAUACGUUCCCGGGCCUU
rnacentral:rRNA from 1 species